CCAGCAGCCGCGGUAAUACGAAGGGGGCUAGCGUUGUUCGGAAUUACUGGGCGUAAAGGGCGCGUAGGCGGCUUCGCUAGUCGGGCGUGAAAUGCCUGGGCUUAACCCGGGAAUUGCGUUCGAUACUUCGAGGCUAGAGUGUGGGAGAGGAUAGUGGAAUUCCCAGUGUAGAGGUGAAAUUCGUAGAUAUUGGGAAGAACACCGGUGGCGAAGGCGGCUCACUGGCUCGUUUCUGACGCUCAGGCGCGACAGCGUGGGGAUCAAACAGGAUUAGAUACCCUGGUA
rnacentral:rRNA from 1 species